ACACCCGAAGUCGGUGGGGUAACCGUAAGGAGCCAGCCGCCUAAGGUGGGACAGAUGAUUGGGGUGAAGUCGUAACAAGGUAGCCGUAUCGGAAGGUGCGGCUGGAUCACCUCCUUU
rnacentral:rRNA from 1 species